UACAGAGGGGGCAAGCGUUAUUCGGAAUUAUUGGGCGUAAAGGGCGCGUAGGCGGCCUGGCAAGUGGAAGGUGAAAUCCCUCGGCUUAACCGAGGAACUGCCCUCCAAACUGCUUGGCUUGAGUCCGGGAGAGGUGAGUGGAAUUCCUGGUGUAGCGGUGAAAUGCGCAGAUAUCAGGAGGAACACCGAUGGCGAAGGCAGCUCACUGGGACGGUACUGACGCUGAGACGCGAAAGCGUGGGGAGCAAACAGG
rnacentral:rRNA from 1 species